rnacentral:tRNA from 1 species
CAGGGAGACAACAAAAUGUUUAAUAUUAUUUUGUCACCUUAGGUCGAUCGGUAUCUCACAUUCUUAAUUUAUUAAGGAUUUUAUUUCCUAAGUUUUUCUAGGUCACACCCAUUAUUUUUCCUGGGCCAUUAGCUCAGGUGGUUAGAGCGCACCCCUGAUAAGGGUGAGGUCCCUGGUUCAAGUCCAGGAUGGCCCAUAUCUCUAUGUUGGGGGUAUAGCUCAGUUGGUAGAGCGCCUGCUUUGCAAGCAGGAUGUCAGCGGUUCGAGUCCGCUUACCUCCACUGAUUACCACCUCUUCCAUAAUUUAAAGGAAAAUUAUGAGUUGUGAUCAAAUUCUGAACGAAUCUAGCCUCUUAAUGAGAUCAUUAGGAUGCUGGACUCAUUGAAUUAAUUUCAUUGUUUUCAGAGAACCUUGACAACUGCAUAGAUUAUUUUUAAAGACAAUAAGCAUCUUUAUUGAUGCAGAUUUAUUAUUUGUGCGAAUGCAUUAAUAACAAUUCUAUUAAGCUGAUGCUUCAA